AAUACUUUUCGCAUUUUGAAACGUGUCAUUACUAGCGCUAUCAAUCACAGAGCGUCAAAAAUAAACUGUUCCUCCAUCUAAGAACUCUUUUAAAUUCGAGUUUUUUGGUGCUGAGGACUGCUACCAGCAUUACUCUUACAAAUGACCCAUAAAGGCUAUCAUAGGUCUUUGAACGAUCUGUGAGAAUGCCUCGACGCUGUAAAUAAAUUAUUUUUCAUUGACUCUCGUUUGAUAUAUGGCUGAACCAUUUAAUUACUGGAAUAGGCUGAGCACUAACUUGAGCCAACAUUAAUCAGCGCUAUUAAUCAAGCAUCACAUUGCUUUGUUGAUGCAGCCAGGAGUCCUUACGAAGCAGUUCACUUUUACGUUGAAAAGUUUAAGUUUUAUAAGUACUCAGUCGAUAUCUAAAUAAACACCAUCACUUUCGCAGCACUGAGGGUUGGUGUGUGGCGAAGUAUUCAAAGAUGAAACAGGAAAAAUUUCUUCGCAGACCAUUAAUUACUUUAGGCGACGGUUUACAGACUUCAUUCCGUUCAUGGAGCGGGAGACAGACUGCAUUCAUUUGUAACUUUGUCCGCAAGUUCUUCCCCAAAGAGUUAAGAGGUUCUUCCCUGGAAACGUUUGUAAAACGUGGCGAAUUAUCACCGGGCCACUCCGGGGAAAGUAUUAGGAUUUACUGAAGGGCACAGUGGAAGAUCAGCCCAGAGGGACCGCUGCAGAGACGGGGAACGGCCACUAAGAUUUGGGCGAGCUUUACUGAAGCUUCACAUUUGGAUAUGACCACUUGCUUUGUUUGCUUAAUUAAGCUAGAUGUUUGUACGCAACUUUCAGCUCCGCACUCGCGAAGUUCCUGGAACACAGAAACCCAAGCGAUUCACGUCUCUCACGUCCCCCUGGUCUCCCCCGUCGUUCCCCACCCCGGGCCUCCCUCCCUACUGCGCUUCCAGCUUUCGGCCGCGACUGGUAACUCUCCUCCCGCUCCUCACCCCGAAGCUGCGCCUCAUCCCUCCUGCUAGGAGUCAUUCCCGAAGCCUGUAUUGAGAUUCUGGUUGUGCCUGCCAGUCUGAGCCCGGUAAAGAGAGAAGAAAACGCGAGUCACUGGUCUGAGGGAGUGUAGACAGGUAGGUACUUAUUCUGGCCAAUGAUGAGUGCCUCCUGAGCGCCGCGCAAAGAGAAGGGAUGCCUGGAGUCGCUGCCCGGGGCCCUUUCAGCCUUCGCCGUCCUUCCUCGGGGCUGCAUGCAUUUCCACUACUCUUAAACUCAAGCGUCU
rnacentral:lncRNA from 1 species